UUCUGUGUAGUAAUAUUGUAGUUCUAAAAAUAGAAAACCAAAAAUAGACAAUUCUUCUUUCUAUUUAGCAAUACACCAUAGAUCUAAAGCCUAUCACCGUCUGUAUUAUCUAAGUCCUCAGAAAAUGUAGAUGAGAAUGGAAUUGUAAGACAAUCAAAGAAAAUGAAAAAAAGAACAAGAACAGCUUAACUGCAAGAAAAGAUCACAACUGUAUCUCACUUCAGUUCCAGGUGAUGUUGACUAUCAAGUUAAAUGCUUUAACCGAGGCUCCUGUCGAUAACGAAUCAACCAAAAAGGCUGUUUUCCGAAAAAUGAAAGGGACAUCUGCCCAAAAAAAGGAUGACAAUGAAAAAACUAAAGAAUUUAUUGGCCAUGUUAUAGGCGAACUAAAUAAAACAAAUGUUAACAAGGCAAUUCAUGGGAAAGUUUUGAGGCCUUUUGGAAGACAAUAGAGACAAUGCAGCCAGACGAUUCAAGUGAACGAUAAGAAGAACAGGAUUGUGACAAAAUUAAACUUACUUACUCAUAAAACAUAGUUACAUUUACAUGGAGUAAGAUUAUUAAGUCCUCUACUCUGCUAUUGGCAUACCCACCAAGGAAAUGGUAUUUCAUGCCCAGGAAAAACCUGAAAAUGACAAAAUGUUAUUGAGUUUGAAUUUAUGAUUUAU